GACGAACGCUGGCGGCGUGCCUAAUACAUGCCAGUCGAGCGAAGUUUUUCUGGUGGUUGCACUAGAAAAACGUAGCGGCGCACGGGUGAGUAACACGUAAAGAACAUGCCUCAUAGACUGGGACAACUAUUGGAAACGAUAGCUAAUACCGGAUAACAGUAUUUCUCGCACGAGAGAUAUUUAAAAGUUUGUUAUGCUAACACUAUGAGAUCACUUUCCGGGGCAUUAGCUAGUUGGUGGGGGAACGGCCCACCAAGGCGACGAUGGAUAGCCGACCUGAGAGGGUGAUCGGCCACACGGGGACUGAGACACGGCCCAGACUCCAACGGGAGGCAGCAGUAGGGAAUCUUCCGCAAUGGGCGAAAGCCUGACGGAGCAACGCCGCGUGAGUGAAGAAGGAUUUCGGUUCGUAAAGCUCUGUUGUUAGGGAAGAAUGGAUAUGUAGUAACUAUACAUGUAAGAGACGGUACCUAACCAGAAAGCCACGGCUAACUACGUG
rnacentral:rRNA from 1 species